AAGUCGUAACAAGGUCUCCGUUGGUGAACCAGCGGAGGGAUCAUUACUGAGUCGUAAAAACUCCCAACCCAUGUGAAUUUACCUUUGUUGCCUCGGCGGGACCUACCCGGUACCUACCCUGUAGCUACCCUGUAGCCCGCCGGUGGACCAUUCAACUCUUGUUAUUUUAUGGAAUCUGAGCGUCUUAUUAAAUAAGUCAAA
rnacentral:misc_RNA from 1 species